GAUGAACGCUGGCGGCGUGCCUAAUACAUGCAAGUCGAGCGAACGGACGAGAAACUUGCUUCUCUGAUGUUAACGGCAGACGGGUGAGUAACACGUGGAUAACCUACCUAUAAGACUAGCAUAACUUCGGGAAACCGGAGCUACUACCGGCUAAUAUUUUGAACCGCAUGGUUCAAAAGUGAACGACGGUCUUGCUGUCACUUAUAGAUGGAUCCGCGCUGCGUUAGCUAGGUGGUAAGGUAACGGCUUACCAAGGCAAGUAUGCUUAGCCGACAUGAGCGGGUGGUCGGCCAACCUGGCACAGAGGCAGGAUCCUCACACUGGAGGUAGGCAGCAGUAGGGAAUCUUCCGCAAUGGACGAAAGCCUAACGGAGCAACGCGGAGUGAGUGAUGAAGGACUUCGGAUCCGAAAACUAUGUUAUUAGUGAAGAACAAAUGUGUAAGUAACUGUGAACAACUUGACGGUACCUAAUCAGAAAGCCACGGCUAACUACGUG
rnacentral:rRNA from 1 species